rnacentral:misc_RNA from 1 species
CGACGGCGGCGACGAUGCGCGCAGUUGGGGACCUCCCUUCAUCGAAGAGGCAUCGAUCAUGUUCCAUGUUACCAACCGCAACAAGCGGUCGGUGACGCUCGACAUGAAGAAUGCGGACGACAUCGAAAAGCUCAAGACGCUCGUGCGCGAUGCGGACAUCUUGAUCCAGAAUCUUCGCUCGGGUGUGGUCAAUGAGCUCGGCAUCGGCCCCGAGCACAUGCGCGCGAUCAAUCCGCGGCUGAUCUAUUGCUCGAUCUGGGCGUUCGGGCCGAAGGGACCGCUGUCGAAAGCGCCGGGAUUCGAUCCGCUGCUUCAGGCGUUCGGCGGCGUGAUGAUGCAGACCGGCCGUCAAGAAGACCCACCGACAUUUUGCGCGCCGGCGAUCAACGACAAGGCGACCGCGCAAUGGUGCGUGAUCGGCGCCCUGGGUGCGCUUCAGCAGCGUCACGUCACGGGCCAGGGCUGCGUGAUCGAUACCUCGUUGCUCGACAGCGCGGCGUCGUGGGUGGAUUCAUCGCUUGCGACGUAUCACGUCACGCAAGAGCUUUCGCCGCGCACGGGGGCGGCGACGCCGACCAUCGUGCCGUAUCAGGUCUUCAAUACCGCCGAUCAUCCGUUGGUGAUCGCCGCCGGUUACGACCGGCUGUUUCAUAAGCUCGCGGUCGUGCUUGGAUUCCCCGAGUGGUGCACCGAUCCAAGAUUUGCGC